rnacentral:rRNA from 1 species
UGGCGGACGGGUGAGUAAUGCUGGGAAACUGCCUGAUGGAGGGGGAUAACUACUGGAAACGGUAGCUAAUACCGCAUAACGUCGCAAGACCAAAGAGGGGGACCUUCGGGCCUCUUGCCAUCGGAUGUGCCCAGAUGGGAUUAGCUAGUAGGUGGGGUAACGGCUCACCUAGGCGACGAUCCCUAGCUGGUCUGAGAGGAUGACCAGCCACACUGGAACUGAGACACGGUCCAGACUCCUACGGGAGGCAGCAUG